rnacentral:rRNA from 1 species
CCUACGGGUGGCAGCAGUGGGGGAUAUUGCACAAUGGGGGGAACCCUGAUGCAGCGACGCCGCGUGGGUGAAGAAGCGCCUCGGCGCGUAAAGCCCUGUCAGCAGGGAAGAAAAUGACGGUACCUGAAGAAGAAGCCCCGGCUAACUAGGUGCCAGCAGCCGCGGGAAUACGUAGGGGGCAAGGUUUAGCCGGAUUGACUGGGGGUAAAGGGGGCGCAGGCGGCGAUGCAAGCCAGGAGUGAAAGCGCGGGGCCCAACCCGGGGACUGCUGUUGGAACUGCGUGGCUGGAGUGCAGGAGGGGAAGGCGGAAUUCCAGGUGUAGCGGUGAAGUGCGUAGAUAUCAGGAGGAACACCGGUGGCGAAGGCGGCCUUCUGGACUGCAACUGACGUUGAGGCCCGAAAGCGUGGGGAGCAAACAGGAUUAGAUACCCGUGUAGUC